GAAAGGAAGAAGAAGAAGAAAGCGAAUUCGUUUCGUCCGCCGCCUCAACAGUAACAAUAAUAAAAUAAUAAUAAAAAGAAAAGAAGAAGAAGAGAGAGAAAAUAAUUUUAAAAAAAAUGUGGGACCCACUGAAUUUUUAUAAAAACUCACCUUCCUUCAUUUCCUCAUUCAUUCCUGCGCGCGAGCUGAGGCGGAGAGAAGCGAGUUGCCGGUGCGAAAUAUCUAAAUUUUUAAGAUUGUAUUACUGGUGAAGAUUGUGGUGAGAGAGAAAUUUUAAGGAAUAAUUUAUUGAAAAAGCCACAAGGAGAAGAGCCACGAGUGACACGUGGAGGAGUCCCAGAGGCUUAGUGGAGGGGAGAGAUGGUGUCUAAAACUAGGAGAGGUGGCGAAAUUGUCGGUGAUUCUAUAGAGCCAAUAGGAAAUGACAUACCUUCACUGCCACAACCGGAGCCCACACAGCAACAAAU